AGCGAAUACAGAUGAAAGUCCUCUGUGUGCUUAGCAGUACUAAGUCAAUGUUUGACUUUAAUUAUUUUGCUCUAUGUUUGAGGGAAAAGGAGAGUGUGCAGUAAGAUUUAAAAAUAGUUCUCUCUGCAGUUGAAGAAAAUGAGUUUGAGAAAGGGAUGACUUUAGGUUUGUUAAAGAAUUUACUGAGGUGAACUUAUAGAGAUAUAAGAUUGGUGGUGAGAGGGUGGGGGAGAGGGGAGAUGAGGGAGAGAGAUAGAAAGGGAUAGGGAAGUUAAUUGUGAACUUAGAUUCUAGGACCACUGGAUUCCAUCCCCAGCACCUCAUAAGAUAGGCAUGGUGGCACACAACUGCAAUCCAAGAACGGGAGAGGUAGACUCAGGAAGGGCAGAAGUUCAAGGUCAUCCUCAGCUGCACAGUGAGUUCAAGACCAGCUCCUGGUCAGGUCAACUGUUUCUGCGGGUGUCUGAAGCACCGUCUUGGCUCCAUUGCUCAUCCCUCCUCCCUCUCCACAACUGGAUUCCAGAAGUAUGGUUCAGUGCUUAGCUGUGGGUGCCUGUUUCUACUUUGACCAGCUACUAAAUGAAGGCUCUAGGAGUGGUAAUCAAGAUCCAGCGCACACAUCUGCAGCUACUGUGAGCUCAUGAUUGCAAUGGCUACAUGUGCAAUGUGGGUAAGGGUGGCUACAUGUACAACGUGUGUGAGUGUGACUACGUGUACAAUGUGGAUAAGGCUGCAUAUGGUGGUCAGAGGACCACACUAUGGACUCAGUCCUUUCCUUUCAUCUUUAUGUGGGUUCCAUGGGCUGAGAAGUGGAAGAAUAUUUCCUCCAAGUGAGAACUCUGUGGAAAACAAAUUUUAAUGCCCUUUGUAAAGAUGUGUGUGUGUGUGUGUGUGUGUGUGUGUGUGUACACGCAAAAGACAACCUUGAGUGUGGUUCCUCAGGAGCCACUCACUGUGUUUUACAAGACAGAGUCUUUCACUGGCCAAAAGUUGACCAAGUAGUAGGCUGGCCAGCAAAACUCAGGAAGCCCCCGUCUCCAGGAAAUGCAAACUGGAAAAUACAAGAAAUUGCGGAAAUACAAGCCUUGUGCCACCACACCCUGCUUCCUUUUAAAAUGUGGUUCUAGGGGUCAAACUCAUGUCCACAUAUUUACAAGGCAGGUAUUUUACCAUCUGAGCUAUUUCUCCAGCUCCCAUAAAGCUUUAUUAGAAGAUAUUCCUGCCCAUCACAUGGCUGCUUUCUGGCUGCCGAGGAGGGUUGAGCAUUUGGGAUAGCAACAAUAUGGUCCACAUGCUUGCAUCUUACAUCUGGUACUUUGUGGAAAAGUCUGUUGACCCUUGAUUUAAGGUCUUAACAAGACUAGGAUGGGCCCACUUCCUUUGGGAAAUAGGUACCCCCUUCUUUUCCCUUUCACCUGGUUUUAGUGAAUGAUGGAGUUUACAAAAGAAAAAUAUGAGUGACUGAUUUUUUUUUUUUUAUGGGUUUGGACCGUCAACAAUAGCUGUAGCUAUGGAGUUCCAAAGGUCCCUGAGGAGGGUCAAUUCAGGAAGACCAGGUGCACACAGGUCUCCAACCAUCUAAUUUUCAGUUCAAUUUCCUAGCUUCCCUUACUGUUUGUAGUUGAUGAAGCUUCGGGGGAACUGAAAGUGUGUUUUCCUCCUCCUCCUCCUUCUUCCUCCUCCUCCUCCUUCUUCUUCCUCCUCCUCCUUCUUCCUCCUCCUCCUCCUUCUUCCUCCUCCUCCUUCUUCUUCCUCCUCCACCUUUUUCUUCCUCCUCCUUCUUCUUCUGGGAGCCUAAGUCAGUUCAAGUUCAGGUCAUCAAUCCACACUGUCCUGUAUCCAUUUAUUCUCAAUGACACCUCUUUCUCCUCAGCAUCUUUUGUAUAAUAUUCUUAAAGUGUGUGAGUGUCCUGUCUAAAUUGAUUGACUAUGACCAGCAUACAAGGGUUCCCAGCACUUCUGCUGAAUCAUUGGCCUAAGUAGCAUGCAAAAGUUGUUAAAGUAUAGAUAAAGAACAAGAGGGAGAGGUUUAAAUUCCAUGUUCUUUUUAAUGGGCAGUAAUGUAAAGGAAGCUGAUUAAUUAGUAUCUUGAGUAGAUGGAGUGAAAGUAGAAACAGCAAGAGACACUAUGAGACAAAAUAAAUGAAUGACUUCCACAAAUAGUCCAGGCAGUCUUUAGAACAUACUUGAGUCAUGAAAGAAAGAGGUCUUCCAAGAUCCCUAAAGCAUGAUGUCAGAGGGUUUUGUUGGUAAAGCACUUGCCGUGCAAUCAUGAGGACCUUAGUUUAAAUCUUCAGGAUGCACAUGAAAGCUCCAAGUGUCCAGUUUGGAUUUGACAGGAGCUUAUGGUCAUACUUGGCUAUGUAGUUGACUUUGAGACUACUCCAAAUUGUGUAAGGUCCUGUCUUUAAAAGAGGGAGGAGACUGGAGAGAUAUAGCUUAGUUGGUAAAGUGCUUGCUUUACAAGCAUUGAGUAGUAUCCAGAGAAGCAUAAUCAUCUGAGGUUGAUUGCUGACCUACACACACACACACACACACACACACACACACACACACACACACACACGCUCGAGUGCAUGCAUAAGGGGAUACGAAACCCUUUAUUGAUAACUUCUUUAAACAAGGAGUCAUAGUCCAAGACCAGAGAACAGACACACUUGGACAUCUAAACAGAGUUCGGGGUUUUAACUGAUGGCAGAUGUUGGCUGUUUUGUGAGAACUUAUUCCAGUGAGACAGGAGAUGGGCAGCUUCUAACAAUGGGGAGACAGAGAGGGAGGAAGGAGUCUUUUGGUGGAAUGGUGUUCUCCAGUAGUCCAUCAGAAUCCACCUCAGCCAAAUGCUGCCUGGGGGAAACUUAAGUACAGUAUACCUACUGCCUUACACAGAACUCAUCCCUGUGUAGAGGAGACAUCACAGACUUUGGGUCCAAAUAGCGACUCCAGGACACUGGACAGGCACUAUUAGCCUAUGGAUAUUCUUCAAAUUUUUAAAAUCUCAUUAACAUAACAGUCCUGCCCUCUUUUUCUAAUUUAAAGUGAAUGUAACCCUGAAACAACACUGGAAUGGAUAAAUUUGGGGCCUCUCCCUAUGAGUGGGGAGCUUGCCCUACUUUGUUUUUCAUUUUAUAAAAUCCUCACUAUUAAAAAAUAUUUG
rnacentral:lncRNA from 1 species